ACGACAUUUUGCGAAAAUCACCUCCCCUUUCCUCCGACAAACAACACACUCCCCGCGCCAGAGCCAGAGCUCCCUUGCUCGUCUCCCCCUCGCCGGAGCUCCCCCGCGCCAGAGCUCACCUCCUCUGCUCCCCCGCACAGCUCUCCCGCGCGUCGCCGGAGCUCCCUCUCCCCACGCCACUGCCGCGUUGCUUCCCCCCUCCUCGUUCCUCUCAUCGUCCCCCCAUGGCGAAUCACGGCGAGGAAGGCUCGACUUUUUUCGAUCUGCUAUCCGACGGCGUCCUUCCCCGAGGGCGGCGAGCCGGAGCUUCCCCUGCGCGUCGUCGACCACCUCCUCAUUGGCUGGACGCCGUCGACCACGAACCCAGUAUUCUCCAAGCGCACGCCGCUGUGUGGGUCGCCGAGAUGCCGAGGCCGAGGCGGAGCUCCAGGCCAUCGAGGUCGCGUACGCCGCCGAGUCCGGCAAGCGCCGCCAACUCCCAGACUGGUCCAAGGCACCCGCCCCCGCCUCCGUCUGCCCAUAGCCCAACCCAGUCCCCUCGCCCCCCUCCUGCCAAGUGGACUUCACAUUCCAAAGGAGGGACAGAAUCUGGAGUAAUUGAUUAUUUCCAAAAUCUGGAGUAAUCUUCUCAAGUUACAUGAUCAGUUGUGCUUGACUGAAAAUUUUCACAGGAAAAUUUUGACUGGAGUAACAGAGGCAUAACAGUACAAAUUACAGUUAACAGAACCUGAACCUGAACUUUUUAACCUUCCCUCUCCCUUUCAUGCGAAUGUGGAUGUUGCACACUAUUGUGAAGGUGUAGCACUGCCCAAUUAAAUUUCCACUUCACAUAUCUACUUCAAUUUCUACUACAAAUUCACCUUUUCAACAGCAGACGCGGGGCAGAGAAGUCAGACGGCGAGGAUGAGCAGAAGCAUCAGACGGCGAGGAGGAGCAGAAGCAUCAGACGGCGAGGACUCGAUCUGGGGGCGUUGGCUUCGCCCAACAGCUGCAGCAUCAGAGGCUGGAGGGAAUCGCGGCGGCAGCAGAAGGAAGCGGCGGCCGGCGACUUGCCCAAAUCCCGCACCGGCGGCCGCGGGCGCGAGGAAGCGGGCAGAGGAUGAGGGCGCGGGCCGCACCGGCUAGGGACGCGAGCAGGGCGACGAGGGAGGUGCCUUCAGCCGUGGAGGAGGCGGGCGUCCAGUUGGUCGCCGCGGAGGAGCAGUCACCUCCGUGUGGGCGGCGGCGCAGCUCGCCUUCGUGCAGGCGGCGCAGGCGGGCAGGGGCGCCGCGGAUUGGCAGCGGCGGCGCAGCGGCGACGCAGGUGGACGGCAGCGCGCUGGGCUCUACGGUGGCUGCCGACGGCGCGCUGGGCUUGUUCCUGCCGCGGGCGUCCGGAGGAGGAAGAAGCAAAGGGGUAAUUAGCAGGAGAUUUAAAAUCCUAAGGGUUUAUUUGCAAAAAUCAUAAUGAACUACGCCGUGGACAACUUUUCCCGGACGGAGGGUUCUGCAUUCAACUGUCGACGUGUGUAACCUGCAGUGGUUAUGUUCUGUUUUUUAUUUUUAACACAAGCUUGCAAACAAUGCGGGGAAAGAAAGCAAACUAUGUAAUGCUUAUUUCACAUUGGUUUAACAAAAACUACUCCCUCCGUCCACUUUUGUAAGUCGUUUCAGACAGCUCAAAAUGGGCUGUUUUGCACAUUGUCUGAAAUGUCUUCAAGGUCUUAUAAAAGUGAACAGAGGGAGUAAAAGUAAUAUACCAGCUCUCCCUGGCUGUGUUGUUUC